rnacentral:lncRNA from 1 species
GCAAGAAUGCUCUUUUAGCUUAAGUAGCAUAGAAGUGGCUAUAGUGAUAAAAAUGGAAUUAGUAAUAAAGUCAUCCAUUCUCCCAUACUAUAGAUAGGAAUUCCAAAUCUUUGAAGUCAUGUUUGAACUAGAAGGAGAUUCAUUUUGUAAAAGAUAAAACAAAGCUGGGCAUUAGUUAAAGGGGUAAGUACAGAUUUUAAUCAGGAUAUGCUAUUGCAAUUGAGAGAAAGAAUUCAGCAAGAAUUGUGCCCCACUUUAAUUUGUGUAGAGGUGACCAGGCAUUAUAAAAUGGAGAAUGAGGAAACAGGGAGCGUCAGAGUCAGUAAUGUGCAAAGGUUCCAGUUUCUCUGCAUCCUAGCCAACAUUCCUUACUUUCUGCAUCUGUUGUUGUGUUUACUAAUUGCCAUCAUAACGGGUAUGAUGUGAUGUCUUAUUGUGGUUUGAUUUGUAUUCAAAGGACUGUUGAUGUUGAAUAUGGCUUUUUGGUGUUUUCAUCUUUGGAGAAAUGUCUGUUUAAGUCCUUUGCCCAUUUUUUAAAUCAGGUUGUUAUUUUGUUAAUUUAUAAGUAUAUUACAU